UUCGGGAACUCUGAGACAGGUGCUGCAUGGCUGUCGUCAGCUCGUGUUGUGAAAUGUUGGGUUAAGUCCCGCAACGAGCGCAACCCUUAUCCUUGUUUGCCAGCACUUCGGGUGGGAACUCCAGGGAGACUGCCGGUGAUAAACCGGAGGAAGGUGGGGACGACGUCAAGUCAUCAUGGCCCUUACGAGUAGGGCUACACACGUGCUACAAUGGCAUAUACAGAGGGCAGCAAGACCGCGAGGUGGAGCGAAUCCCAGAAAGUAUGUCGUAGUCCGGAUCGGAGUCUGCAACUCGACUCCGUGAAGUCGGAAUCGCUAGUAAUCGUGGAUCAGAAUGCCACGGUGAAUACGUUCCCGGGCCUUGUACACACCGCCCGUCACACCAUGGGAGUGGGCUGCACCAGAAGUAGAUAGCUUAACCUUCGGGAGGGCGUUUACCACGGUGUGGUUCAUGACUGGGGUGAAGUCGUAACAAGGUAGCCCUAGGGGAACCUGGGGCUGGAUCACCUCCUUACAAAAAAG
rnacentral:rRNA from 1 species